rnacentral:misc_RNA from 1 species
UGGGAAAUACCCAACCAUCACCCCCAUCACCUACAAAAAUUAAAAAGACUCAAAAACCGGUACAAUGGAAUUACAGUGACAAUUUCACACAGCAACCCACUAAAAUACCAAUACUAACUCUAGUUAGCCAUUAACAGUUAAAAGGACCCGUGAAUCUAUAGCAAAUACGGCCUGAACCUGAUCAGAAGGUUCAAGAAAAUUGACAACCACAAGCUCGAAUCCAGAGCUUAUUCUUGUGACAGUCAAAUAUUAACAGCCCAAUCAAGCAAGUUAUUACUGAUCCACCCCACCCCAAAAGGCCACGAAAUGGCUAUCCACCCAACACAAGUACCAAUCAUAAAUCAAGCAAAGCUACUGAAAGUAAUUGGCCAAUUACCAAGAGUCAUUCAUUGAUGCUUGAUUGCUAGCUGGUCAAAAUUUGCCAAUUUCCCAUUCAAUAUUUAGAUUCAUUGGAGAACACAUUAGAUCCAACCCACAUUUGCAGGAAAAUUAUGUUUAUUGGCUAUUCUAGGCAUAAAUGGCGUAUGUUACACCAUCACAGGGGAAUUUAUAACAGUACAUGAAUAUCAACCGAGGCAAUAAGUAAUAUUAAAAAAAAAAAACCCUGAGGCAGUCACCAAUUGUAUGAAAACUUUCUCUACAUGCUGGGUAAAAAUAGAUAAAGCAUCAUG